UACGUAGGGUGCAAGCGUUAAUCGGAAUUACUGGGCGUAAAGCGUGCGCAGGCGGCUUUGCAAGUCCGGUGUGAAAUCCCCGGGCUUAACCUGGGAACUGCAUUUGUGACUGGCAGGCUAGAGUAUGGCAGAGGGGGGUAGGAUUCCACGUGUAGCAGUGAAAUGCGUAGAGAUGUGGAGGAAUACCGAUGGCGAAGGCAGCCCCCUGGGCCAAUACUGACGCUCAUGCACGAAAGCGUGGGGAGCAAACAGG
rnacentral:rRNA from 1 species